UGAUUAUAAUGAAUGGCUGAGCAGGCUUGAAGAGCUGAACAACCUGUUGCGGCUCCUAUUUUCUAUGUUCCUGUGCUCACCACAUUCACAAGGCAUCCUUUGUUCUAGUUGUUAUUCCAUGCAUGAUGUAUAGUUUAUUACAACCUUGAUUUACUUAAUAAUUAAUAUGUAAUUUGUUUAUUCUCAUAGAGUCAUAGAGAUGUACAACAUGGGUCUAAAGAUUCCAAGAAUUGAAAUCCUGUUGAAGCACUGCUAUACAGAGCCAUCCAGUUCCAAGGAUUCACAGGACUGACCCACUCAAAGUCAAAAGUGAAACUAAAGUUCCUUUCUCUUAGCUAAGGGUGUUUCCCUUAAGCUUAAUAAACAUGCAGAACUUUUACAGGUUCAUUUAGGAUAAAUAGAUAAUGAGGAAAAGAGCAGGAAUUUGUGCAUGGAGCCAGAGGAUGUAGGUAGGGUUCUAAAUAAAUAUUUUGUGCUGGUGUUGACUGGGGAAAGAAUCUAUGUGGGUAUUGAAAUUACAGGGGAAGAUCUAUGACACAAUUAAAAGCGUUAGCACAGACAGAGAGGAGGUUCUGUGUUCUCCGGCCGGUUUAAAAGUAGGAAAAGGGCUCGAUGAAAUAUAUCCAAGGUUGUUGAGUGAGGCAAGGUAGGAAAUAGGAGCACUAGCAAAAAUUAUCUCUGGCCACGGGAGAGGUGGCUGAGGACUGAAGGACAGCCAACAUGGUACUAUUAUUCCAGAAGGGAUUAAGGGAUAAAUCAGGAAACUACAAGCCAAUUAGUCUAAUCUGGGUAGUGGGGAAACUAUUGGAACAAGAACAGUUAGCAUGGUUUUGUUCAGAGGUUGUCAUAUAUAAUCAGCUUGUUUGAAUUUUCCAAAGAGGUGAUAAGGUGUGUAGCUGAGGACAAUGCUUUUAAUGUGGUUUACUUGGAAUGGGAGAUUGGUAGCAAAGGUAACAACCAUGGAAAUUUGGCAAAUUGGAUAAGAUUUGGCUGAGUGGCAGGACGUAGAGGGUGAUGGUUAAGACCUCUUUUACUAACUGAAGGUCUUUCCAUUGGAAUCCCACAGAGGUCAGUGUUGUAUAAAUGAUUUAGACUUGAAUGUUAGAGGGUUGAUCAGUAAAUUCACAGAUAAUAACAAAAGUGGUGAGGUGGUGUGGGAAAAGACCUACCAACCUGCCUAUUCAUAAUAGGCCCACACUGAACAUAGGAAAGCAAACUUGGCCAAACUAUAUCAAAAACACCCAGAAUGCCUCAGCAGUGACCAAACUGGCUGACAAGCAAAACCAGACAGCACUGGCAGAGAAGGGAAUACACUUCCCAAAAACACACUAACAAUACCCGGUCAACACAGCUGUCCCAAAGCCUGAGGGCUAUCUCAGAACACAGCAAUACCAAAGCCACACAAAGAACAGGUCAGACGGAGAGGCACCACCAGGGACAUCGCUCCCAGGACAGGACAAUGGAUCCUACUGUUUCAAAAGAGACAUUCUCACCUACCUGCAAAGAGAACUGGAAUCUCCUGACCCAUUGAUACUGUCAGGAUGUUGCAUUGCAUCAAGAAUCAGGACAUUCAUCCGAUAACUGUUUUUCAAUUGUCAUUAUUGUAACUGGAUUACUCCAUUUCCAAAUACAUUGUAUCUUUCCCCAUUUUAAUUAAUCUUAUUUCUAUAAAACCUGGCUUCGUCCUCAGCUCGAGGAAGAGAAUUCUCAGCUAUCUGGACAAACUACCUGUGCUGUUUUAGCUUUGUCAAUUUCUCUUCCGCGAUAUCGCCGUACUAAUAAACUGUUUGUCAAUUUUA